rnacentral:tRNA from 1 species
GCCCGCCUAGCUCAAUCGGCUAGAGCGUCAGACUUUUACGGCUUAGCCAGGUAUCUGAAGGCUGCGAGUUCGACCCUCGCGGUGGGCU